GUGAUCUUACCCAGGUAAUACAGAUCGGGAUAUGUGAUCUUACCCAGAUAAUACAGAUGGGAUAUGUGCCCUUACCCAGGUAAUACAGAUCUGGAUAUGUGAUCUUACCCAGGUAAUACAGAUGGGGAUAUGUGAUUUUACCCAGGUAAUACAGAUCCGGAUAUGUGUCCUUACCCAGUAAUACAAAAAAGGAUAUGUUAUCUUACCCAGGUUAUACAGAACCUGCAGGUAAUACAGAUCAGGAUAUGUGAUCUAACCCAAGUUAUACAGAUUAUGAUUAUAUAUCUGAAAUGGUUUAUUGAUGUGAAUUGCCAACACCAUUUUACAUAACAUCAUUCCAUUCUCCCUAAAUACAUGUAAAACUUUGGAGUGGAGUGGAGUGCAGUCAGCUGUUGUGUAGUGUGGAGACCGGUGUUGUGUGGCGAGAAAUCGGGUGUUGUGUAGUGUGGAGACCGGUGUUGUGUGGCGAAAAAUCAUGUGUUGUAUAGAGCAGGGUCAGAUGCGGAUCGAAGUCAGGUGUUGUGUGACAAGGAAUCAUGUGUUAUGUAGAGCAAGGUCAGAUGUGGAGUGGAGUCAGGUGUUGUGUGACAAGGAAUCAUGUGUUAUGUAGAGCAAGGUCAGAUGUGGAGUGGAGUCAGGUGUUGUGUAGAGCAGAUCCGGUGUGGAGCGGAGUCAGGUGUCGUAUGGUGUGGGAUCCUGUGUUGUGUAGAGCGGGAUCAGGUGUUGUGUGGAGCGGAGUCAGGUGUUGUGGGGAGUGGAGUCAGUGUUGUGUAGUGAGGUGUUGUAUGGAGCGGAGUAAGGUGUUUUGUGGAGUGGAGUCAGGUGUUGUGUGGAGUGGAGUCAGGUGUUGCAUGGAGUGGAGUCAGGUGUUGUGUGGAGCGGAGUCAGGUGUUUGUGGAGUAGAGCCAGGUGUUAUGUGGAGUGGAGCCAGGUGUUAUGUGGAGUGGAGCCAGGUGUUGUGUGGAGUGGAGUCAGGUGUUGUGUGGAGCGGAGUCAGGUGUUGUGUGGAGUGGAG